AGUGAACGCUGGCGGUAGGCCUAACACAUGCAAGUCGAACGGCAGCACAGUAAGAGCUUGCUCUUACGGGUGGCGAGUGGCGGACGGGUGAGGAAUACAUCGGAAUCUCCUUUUUCGUGGGGGAUAACGUAGGGAAACUUACGCUACUACCGCAUACGACCUACGGUUGCAAGCAGGGGAUCUUCGGUCCUUGCACGAUUGAAUGAGCCGAUGUCGGAUUAGCUAGUUGGCGGGGUAAAGGCCCACCAAGGCGACGAUCCGUAGCUGGUCUGAGAGGAUGAUCAGCCACACUGGAACUGAGACACGGUCCAGACUCCUACGGGAGGCAGCGGUGGGGAAUAUUGGACAAUGGGCGCAAGCCUGAUCCAGCCAUACCGCGUGGGUGAAGAAGGCCUUCGGGUUGUAAAUCCCUUUUGUUGGGAAAGAAAAGCAGCAGGUUAAUACCCCGCUGUGCUGACGGUACCCAAAGAAUAAGCACCGGCUAACUUCGUG
rnacentral:rRNA from 1 species